GUAAAAAAUAGAUGGCGAGAGGUUUCAACUUGUCCACAGAAAAUGCAAUCCUCACUGAAAUCUUGGAAUUCAUCUAUAUAAGUUUGCAUUGACCGGCAACUUCUCUUUUAGUAAAUUCCAAAGAAAGAUCAAUAUCUUUUUAGGCAGGUUUAGCUUCCAAAAAUUCCUCCGAAAAAACGGCAUUGUUUCGUUGGGACAAUUGUCCUGGCC
rnacentral:misc_RNA from 1 species